rnacentral:rRNA from 1 species
AAUAUUUGACAAUGGUCGAAAGCCUGAUACAGCCAUGCCGCGUGUUUGAAGAAGGNCUNNGGAUUNUNAAGCACUUUAAGUUGNNNNNAAUGGCAGUAAGUUAAUACCUUGCUGUUUUGACGUUACCGACAGAAUAAGUACCGGCUAACUUCGAGCCAGCAGCCGCGGUAAUACGCAGGGUGCAAGCGUUAAUCGGAAUUACUGGGCGUAAAGCGCGCGUAGGUGGUUUGUUAAAUUGGAAGUGAAAUCCCCGGGCUUAACCUGGGAACUGCUUUCAUAACUGCUGAGCUAGAGUACGGUAGAGGGUAGUGGAAUUUCCUGUGUAGCGGUGAAAUGCGUAGAUAUAGGAAGGAACACCAGUGGCGAAGGCGACUACCUGGACUGAUACUGACACUGAGGUGCGAAAGCGUGGGGAGCAAAC